rnacentral:lncRNA from 1 species
AUAAUAAAAAGUUGACUAGCCACACCUUCUUCUUCUCACUCUUCCUUUUACGCGAUUUCUGCUCGAAUAAAAUAAUCCCCAAUCGAUAUUUCCGUUCCAAGCUCGCCCCCGUUCCAAGCUCGUCGACCAAGCUCGUCUUCGCCAGUCGAUCUUCAAGAAACUAACCCUUGUUAACAUGUAAUGUUAUAUUCUAUUCUUUCGAUUUAUUUGGUAAGUUUGGUUGGAUAAGCUUGCUAGAUCACAGAUGUAAAAUUAGGGUUUAGGGUUACAUUAGUCAACCGGAAUUGGGGGUCUUAAUACGUGCAAUCCGUCCAUACUUUCGUAGGGGUUGUGAUAAGGGACAAUGGAUUUUUUCUUUGUCCGUCGUUCCCGUCUUGUACAGAGUUCUUUGUGAUUUUAUCACUCUUGAUUCGUAAGGAGUAAUUUUUGUGUCACCCUUACAGGAUGAGUAUCAUUCUAAUGUGUGGUUGCAACCUCCUGGAAAAACUGUACGCACUCGAGCUACCACCCGGUAAGUGUGAUGUCCCCUUUACCUACUACUUUGGGUGUUUGGGUGUCGCAAGUCCAACGGCGGUUGCGGAACAUUCAUGUGGUGCAAGGUCAAAAAUAAUAGGGAUUAUAAUGAUGACGAUGGAGUUCAUGUCUACGACUCCCUAGUUGUAACUAACGUACGGCUAGAUUAGAAGAGAAAGAACUUACAGGAGAAGAACAAGGACUUGAAGGACUGUAUUCAAGGCUUGGAGAACAGGAUUUUUCGACUUCACCUUGAUGAGGACGAUUUGUUCCUCGAUGACAGAGAUUGGUAAUAACCACAACCACGGAUGUCCCCGGUAGCUGCUGGAUGGUGUAGGGUUUCAUCGUGUCCUGUAGCAGGUUUGGAACAAAGACCCGGCGUAUGGUAAUAGGGUUUAGGGUCAUGUUUUUUAUCCUUCUUUGUUGAAGGUGUAGUAAUGUAUGGAACUGCUUGAAUUACACUAUGUCCAUGAAGUCUCUUAACACUCUUCGUAUGCUGAUUGUACUAUAGCUAACGUAUUGGUACUUAAUGUAAUGGUUCAACUUUGUUCAGGUUUGGUUGUGGUUGUGCUUUCUAUUUGUUUGGUGACAAUGGUAGUCUGUACUAGGGAUUAGUUCGAAUGUAAUAGAAAGGACACCUCUGCUUAUAGUAAGCUCAUUAUUGCCAUCCAUCUGUAUUGUCUCAGGCAUAUUAGGAACGAUGAUUAAGGUGUUCUAGUAACAUAAAAUGACCUGCAACAGAUGUCUCCGUAACAUAAAAUGACCAGCAGAAUCCUGCACAUGGACAGAAAAUUCGACUGAACCCAGUUCUAGCUAUUAACUUAUACAUGAUACGUCCUAUUACAACAA